GGGGCAGAGGACAGAACACCAGUUAGGCGCUUUAAACUGCAUUUUGUGCCAGCCACACCCCAGGACAGCCUGCCAAGUCGAGGCUUACUCAAGUCCCAGUUGCCCCUCUGGCAGCCUAAACCUUAACUUCCCAAGUGCGGGGCAUUGGGGUCAAAGGUCAAUCUUUGGGCACACAUCCCAAGCCGGCAGCGAUCAUUACUAAUCCGGCACGAGGGCCGCCUCUCACACCCAGGCAGGUGCUGGCGGCGUGUAAUUCCCUUAAUGAGACAAGGCUGCCACGGCGGCUCGAGAUUUAUUGGCAUGGAUUUUAUGUCUGCUCUGGCGCUCCGACACUACAAAAUGGGCAGGCGCCCGGGUGUUCUCUGAAGAUCAGGACUGUGCUCCUCGAGAGUGACGGGGACAGACCAGUGCUGGCCCUCGAGGACACCAUGGGGGUCAAUGACAGUGCCACUUUGGAAAUGACCAGUGCUGGUCCUCGAGGACACCAUGGGGGGUCAAUGACAGUGCCACUCUGGAAGUGACCGGUGCUGGCCCUCGAGGAUACCAUAGGUGUCAAUGACAGUGCCAGUGCAGGUCCUCAAGAGCAGGGGCUCCUAAAUAAGAGACUUGUCACCAUAGUGGCACCCAAGAUGAGGAUUAUUACCAUAGUACUGCUCAGUGAUGCAUGUGGAGUGAGCUCAUCGGUGGGGUCCCUCAGGGGUCCGUCCUCGGACCCUCAGUUACUUUUUUCCAAUUGACAUUAAUGGCAUUGUGUAGUUAGUGAACUUGUGACAUUUGAAGAUGGCACUCGGAUUGGAGGAAUGGCAGACAUGGAGGAGGCGGCAAAAACAAUUCAGGGAGACCUGGAGAAGCUUCAGAAAGGAGAUCAUAACACCUGGAAAAUGAAGUAGAAAAGUGCAAAGGGGGGCAACAGGAACGGCAAGUCUAAAUCCAAGAUGGGGGA